rnacentral:lncRNA from 10 species
AUGAGACAAGAGGUAGAGGGGAGAGGUAGAGGUAGCCACGAGCUGAUAAUUACAGACAAGAGAUGCGGAGUAUGUGGGGGCUCAUUAUCCUGCAUAGUCUAUCUUUGUAUAUCUUUGAACUUUUCAAGAAUAAAAAAGCUUAAAAAGUAUACAUGGCCUGGUCCUACCAGAGACUCACCCAAUGCCAGCCUCCAGCCAGGGAGAGCCAAGUUUGCAUUUUCACACGCAUCUCACACUCCUCUGCACUCUCAACUUGGAGCGCUCCAAACAGGGAAACCCCAAGCCUUGCUGGCUUCUGCCAACCCCCUGAGCAGAAGCAUGGGUCCCCCUGAUCACCACCUCACCACCCUCAUCCUGAUCUCACUGUACACACCCUUUCCCGGUCUGCUAAGUAGCGGGUGUUUUUCCUUGACACUAACGCUACCGCUAGACCACGGUGGGCUUGGCAACAGGUGUCUUCCCAGAUGCUGGCGUUACCGCUAG